rnacentral:rRNA from 1 species
AACCCGGAGCUUGCUCCGGCGGAUUAGUGGCGAACGGGUGAGUAACACGUGAGUAACCUGCCCUUGACUCUGGGAUAAGCGUUGGAAACGACGUCUAAUACCGGAUACGAGCUGGGACCGCAUGGUCACUAGCUGGAAAGAAUUUCGGUCAAGGAUGGACUCGCGGCCUAUCAGUUAGUUGGUGAGGUAAUGGCUCACCAAGACGACGACGGGUAGCCGGCCUGAGAGGGUGACCGGCCACACUGGGACUGAGACACGGCCCAGACUCCUACGGGAGGCAGCAGUGGGGAAUAUUGCACAAUGGGCGAAAGCCUGAUGCAGCAACGCCGCGUGAGGGACGACGGCCUUCGGGUUGUAAACCUCUUUUAGCAGGGAAGAAGCGAAAGUGACGGUACCUGCAGAAAAAGCACCGGCUAACUACGUGCCAGCA